CGGGCUGUGGCGUAGCCUGGUAGCGCGCUUGCAUGGGGUGCAAGAGGUCAUGAGUUCGAAUCUCAUUAGCCCGACCA
rnacentral:tRNA from 1 species